rnacentral:rRNA from 1 species
AACGAACGCUGGCGGCAGGCCUAACACAUGCAAGUCGAGCGCCCCGCAAGGGGAGCGGCGGACGGGUGAGUAACGCGUGGGAACGUACCCUUUGCUACGGAAUAGCCUCGGGAAACUGGGAGUAAUACCGUAUGUGCCCUUCGGGGGAAAGAUUUAUCGGCAAAGGAUCGGCCCGCGUUGGAUUAGGUAGUUGGUGGGGUAAUGGCCUACCAAGCCGACGAUCCAUAGCUGGUUUGAGAGGAUGAUCAGCCACACUGGGACUGAGACACGGCCCAGACUCCUACGGGAGGCAGCAGUGGGGAAUCUUAGACAAUGGGCGCAAGCCUGAUCUAGCCAUGCCGCGUGAGCGAUGAAGGCCUUAGGGUUGUAAAGCUCUUUCAGUGGGGAAGAUAAUGACGGUACCAUCAGAAGAAGCCCCGGCUAACUCCGUG